GUUGAUACUGGUUAACAGGAGAAGCACCAGUGUGAUUUUUUUUUGCGUUUCUUUGAUGCAGCAUGAUUGCCUGAAUCACAUUAAUGAUGGAUGCAACCCUUCACCCCAUCCUGAAGCAGCAGGAUGAGGAGAGUGUUCGCACUCUUGGGGCUGAGCCAGCCGAUGACUCAAACCUGAGAAGGCUUACCGAGAUGCAAGAACCCAUGGGGAUGAUGACGGCCUCACAGGCAGAACAACCUUCCGCUUUUAAAUGAGAACAUUAAAGCUGUCUGCAGCAGCUGCUCUGAUUUUGGAUUACAGAUUGCCUCAUCCUCAAGAACGAAAGGGGAAGGGUUGCUGAAGCGUGCCAGCACAGCCAGGAGAGGACCAGGCCAGGUUGGGGACAGGGCUUGCCUUCGCCUGGAGCAUCAGCAUCUGCGCAGGGGCGAGCUCCUGACACAGCCCGGGUGACGGAAGCCUGAGUGCUGGUUUUCUUCAGCUGACUUCCACUAGAUACGCACGAGGGGCUCGGCGGUGUGUUAGCGCUUCAUUUCCCAUCUGGCUGCAUCUUUCAGCUUCAGCAAAGGAAAGGCAAGGGGCACUGAGCAUGGAGGCUGCUUCAGGAACCCAAUGGCUGGAUGCCGAAUCCCAGUUCCCAGGGUGGAGAGGCGGCCGCUGUCAUAACAGAAGCUACUUAUUACUGUCCUUGCUGAGCUCACCCCGUGAAAGCAACUUUCUGACUGAAAGCCCUUGGAGUCUCCUUUGGGGAAUUCGGCUCCAGGGUUACAGUACUGAUACUGGGAGUCCCAAGUGGAACCGGUAAAUGCCCCAUUCAUGGAAGAAAAGCAUCCAAAAAAAAACAAAAAAAAAAAAAAAAAAGAGGUAAGUCAGAACAAAACCCCCAAAUCAUUGCCAAGGGUGGGAUUCCCAAAAAUCCCGUGCUGUGAGGAGCAGCUAUUCCCCAUGGAUAUAGAGAAUUAGCUACAGCCAAGUGCGGCUGGUAUACUGAGGAGCAGGCUGGGCGAUGUGGGGAGCUUGUGGGACCCCCACCCCCAUAGCCCUGUGUGCGUGUGCAGGGUGGAAAGGUGUUUUUGUUGACUGCAUCAGGCUGUUUUUGGUGACUUCUAGCCUCGUGAUGUGCUUUUCCUAUUGCACGGAGUGAGCUGCAGGCAGCCUCCAGAACACCGUGAAGUUUGGCAUCCUGUGGCAGAUGUUUUUUGUUUGGUGAGGACAAGGGGAGGAGGAACCAAAAACCCACCCAGGAGGAUACAGAAGGGACAGAAAGUGGGACCAAUGCCCAGAAAGAUGUGGCAGAAUACAUAUUGCCUGUGACAGUGCAGCAGCAGCAGCAGCAACAGCAGCUCAGAAACCACGCAACACCUUUCUCUUUUAAAAAUGUCAUUUAAUCCAUCAAUUCCACAGCAUUGCCAUCAUACACACCAGCACGACGCCUCAGUACAUGGGACACAGAGCCAAGGAGAUGCAGUUACCCAGAAACACGCUUUUUUCUUAAAAAAAAUCCAACCCCCUAAGGAUGUCAGGGGGGAAACCAGCGGUAGGUGACCGGAAUAACUAGUUCUCUUCAGCAAGUUAAAGGCACUUAGCAAGGGAACGAAACUCCAGCCUGACCAGGCUGCCUCACCCUGGUGCCCCACAAGCUGGACCCUGGCAGGGGUGAUGCCGGGGAUGAUGCUGGGGGCGGCUGUGGAGGGCAUGGGGUUCCCCAGGAGCACCAGGGGGCUUUUUUUUUUUUUUUUUUUUUUAAAGCUGAGAGCAAAUCUUUUCUAUUUGGGGCUUUUGCUGUUCAUGCUUUAAAUCCAGCAGCAGGCACCUCCUUGCUGACACCUGAACAGCCACUUCUGAUGGAGGCACCAACUCUGUGCCCUGUGGGGAUGAUGCUGGCCUCAGAGCACUGCAAAUGCAUUUUACAGAGCAGAAAUAUAAAACCUGGCAGGUCUCCCCAUGUGCAGGCAACAGCAUUAAGCCAACCAAGAGCUACAGGGAAACAAACACCCCAA